rnacentral:tRNA from 1 species
GUUUUAAGCGCAAAAGAUAUCCGUCAACU